UUUACUGAAUCCACGGACUAAAACCUCUCUUUUAUCUUCUCCGGAUCUUGCGCACACCAACGGGUUGUCCACGCCCCACGUCCGAAUCCACGAACACCACGUCCCGAAUCCACGAAACGUCACCACUUCGAAUCCACGAAUCCACGACGCCCACUCGAAUCCACGAGCCCACGAUCUGAAUCCACGAACUGCCUUCGUUCACGCCGAAUCCACGACGCCUUUCAUGAAG
rnacentral:lncRNA from 1 species